AGUAACACGUGGAUAACCUACCUAUAAGACUGGGAUAACUUCGGGAAACCGGAGCUAAUACCGGAUAAUAUUUUGUAACCGCAUGGUUCAAAAGUGAAAGACGGUCUUGCUGUCACUUAUAGAUGGAUCCGCGCUGCAUUAGCUAGUUGGUAAGGUAACGGCUCACCAAGGCAACGAUGCAUAGCCGACCUGAGAGGGUGAUCGGCCACACUGGAACUGAGACACGGUCCAG
rnacentral:rRNA from 1 species